rnacentral:rRNA from 1 species
AACGAACGCUGGCGGCGUGUUUAAGACAUGCAAGUCGAACGGGAGAAGUGAGUAGCAAUACGAUCUUCUUUAGUGGCGCACGGGUGAGUAACACGUGAGUAACAUGCCCCUUCAGUGGGGAAUAGCCCAGGGAAACUUGGAUUAAUACCUCAUGGUCUCGCAAGAGUAAAGGCGGCCGCAAGGCUGUCGCUGAAGGAUUG